CCUACGGGAGGCAGCAGUGAGGAAUAUUGGUCAAUGGACGAGAGUCUGAACCAGCCACGUAGCGUGAAGGAUGACUGCCCUAUGGGUUGUAAACUUCUUUUAUAUGGGAAUAAAUUGUUCCAAGUGUGGGAUUUUGUAUGUACCAUAUGAAUAAGGAUCGGCUAACUCCGUGCCAGCAGCCGCGGUAAUACGGAGGAUCCGAGCGGUAUCCGGAUUUAUUGGGUUUAAAGGGAGCGUAGGUGGUUUGUUAAGUCAGUUGUGUAAGUUUGCGGCUCAACCGUAAAAUUGCAGUUGAAACUGGCAGACUAGAGUACAGUAGAGGUAGGCGGAAUUCGAGGUGUAGCGGUGAAAUGCUUAGAUAUAACGAAGAACUCCGAUGGCGAAGGCAGCUUACUGGACUGCAACUGACGCUGAGGGUCGAAAGUGUGGGGAUCAAACAGGAUUAGAUACCCCGGUAGUC
rnacentral:rRNA from 1 species